AUACGUAGGGAGCGAGCGUUGUCCGGAAUUACUGGGCGUAAAGGGCGCGAAGGCUGCGAUUCAAGUCAACUGUCAAAUUCCGGGGCUUAACCCCGGCCUGCAGUUGAAACUGAAUUGCUCGAGGCGCAGAGAGGCAGACAGAAUUCCUGGUGUAGCGGUGAAAUGCGUAGAUAUCAGGAAGAAUACCAGUGGCGAAGGCGGUCUGCUGGCUGCGAACUGACGCUCAAGCGCGAAAGCCAGGGGAGCAAACGGGAUUAGAUACCCCGGUAGUCCUGGCAGUAAACGAUGUAUGCUGGGUGUGAGAUCAGCGAUGAUUUCGUGCCGAAGUUAACGCGAUAAGCAUACCGCCUGGGGAGUACGGUCGCAAGAUUGAAACUCAAAUGAAUUGACGGGG
rnacentral:rRNA from 1 species